UCGGUGGUGGCCUGGUCGGGGCGGCGCUGGCUGCCAGCUUGCGGGACAGCGCGUUCGAGAUCGCGCUGGUCGAA
rnacentral:tRNA from 1 species